CUGGAAAGUGAGCUGCGUUCAGGGGAUCUACGUGUUUGAGAGUGUGAGUUGGAAGCAGACAUUCAAGACAAAGGUGUUAAAGUUGGGAGGUCCUUUCUUCAUCUCUGGAGGUGGCAGUUGUUGACUAUGACCAUCCACAGUCAUCAACAUGCUUUUUUUACCCUGAAGCUGUCGAAAAAUACUGUGACUUAUGAGGAUUUUGAAAAAGAUAUGAUGGCAGUUGCAUUCUAGAUCCUACUGGAGGAGGAACCUGAAGCUGAGGGGCCAGUUCAAAGGCCUACCCUCCAUAUCCACUCCCAUUAUCCCUAUUUAAAAGUCCUGUCUUGAAAGGUUUCCUCAAGGAAGUGCCUAGGCAGUCAAGCUGCAGAAGAGAAAUGUGCCUUUAGAAGCUCAGAGUAAUUGGCUAAUCCAAAUUGAUGGCCACAAACUAGCAGAGGAAAAUAAUUGCUGGUCGUAAUUAAAAAAUUUAAAGCAGUUUCUAGGAAAUUGUGAUAUUAAUGCACUGCCUCAUUUCUAUAUUGGAUCAAUUAAAUUGGAUUUCAAUAUUCUAUAUUGGAAUUAAGGACAAAUAUAUUGAGUUGGUAUGUGUUCUGGGUCCCUCUCAAAGAAACAAAUACUAAUUGUGACUGACAACUCCUCUUUAUAGAUGGCAAACAAUUUACUUUUGAAGCCAGGUGGGGUUUUCCAACUGUGGGAAACGUACUGUAUUAGGGAAUAUUGUGUGGUAUAUCAGAAUUACCAUGCACUUUUUGUAUGCUUGGCUGCACUACAAGGUGAACUGUAAGGCAAGUUACCCUCUAAAACUGUAAAAGAAACUGAAAUAAAAAAACUGAUGCUUCAUCAGAUGUUUACAUUUUUUUUAG
rnacentral:lncRNA from 1 species